AUGUUGUGCGAUGCAUCCUUCUGCGCACCUAAUCGCCUACUUAGAAAAAGAAAUAAAAGUAGCUGCAUUCGCGUGUACUUUGGAGUGUGUAUAGAUGGCAGAAUAGUUGUACCCUUGCUUUCUACUAAUAGUUUUAUUUACACUGUAGGUAGUUCACUAUAUAAGUUUCCUGAUAACUGUAGGCUGAUGUUAAUAAUUUUUUUUUUUGGAAAGAAUGAAAUAUCAGGAUCUUUGACAUUGCAGAAUUAUGCUGACACGGUGUUUGAGGGUAUCAUUGAUGAGUUUCAAUCUUGGAGAGGUGCAGGCUGCUUGUCUUCUUUCUGA
rnacentral:rRNA from 1 species